AGGUAUGUAUUAAUCAUCUGAUAACAACGGCCCAAAUAUUAUUUCAUUACUCAUUGGGUGUUCAGCAAGAUGUUACGUGUUCUAGUGAUAUUGUGCGUAGCAGCCUUUGUGAAAUCACAAAGUACAAACAUUUCACCGUGCGACGCUGGUGCAGGCAAUCUCCCCAUCAACGUGUAUAUUGAAGGAUGCAUAGAUCCACCUUGCCAAGCUCAGAGAGGAACUAACGCCACUAUGCAUGUGGUGUUCAGAGCACCGACAACUACGCGCAGUAUGACAACGUAUAUAAUUCCAAGGUUGUUUGGAGAAGAAAUAGACUACCCAUUAGGUGAACAAGCCAUCACCUGCAACUUCCUUGAAAAUACCUAUUGUCCGGUGAUGAAGGAUGAGAUAGUCAAAUACAAGUUCUCAUUUUUCAUACAAUUGGUAUUUCCUCCCAUAUCGCUGCCAUUAGAUUUGAAAGUAGUAGACCAAUUAGGAAACCCGGUCUUCUGCUUCAGAGUCACUGUCCAAGUCCUCUGGUGAUCCUGAGGCCAAAUCAGAAUUAUACUCUUCCAAUAAAUGCAUUUACUUAUCGUUUUCAUUCAUGUUCUGCGUGAAAUGUAAUGUUCACUUUGAUUUUUCAAUAGAUGUUUUGUAUAUUAGAGAUAAGAGAAAUGCUUAAAUAAGUUUAAGCUGUUUCGAUAAUUAAUCUGCUCUCUGCUAUGCUCACACGUCCCGCGCGACCGCCGACGCCACCUGUUCAGCUGUUUUGGCGCUAAACAUGGCGCGGCCACUUGAGGCUCUAUAGCCACUUGUAUUUACAAUAGCCGAGGUAUCAAUAUGCGAUUUAUGUUACGGGUUGCUAGAUAAACAAGCUUGGUUAUUGUAAGCAAAAAACAUGCUUUGUGAUAGAUUUGUGCUGUGAUAUCGCCGCUCUUUCAGAGUUGUACGAGAAAUUGUGACUAUUUUGCUAAACGCGUCAAAAUAAAAAUACUGCAAUUGAA